GGUUUCAUGUUGAAGUUGGUUAUCACAUCAGUCUAACACACUUAAGAUCUUUGGUUCAAGUCCGGGCGAAGCCA
rnacentral:tRNA from 1 species